rnacentral:misc_RNA from 1 species
GAUGAAGAACGUAGCGAAAUGCGAUAAGUAAUGUGAAUUGCAGAAUUCAGUGAAUCAUCGAAUCUUUGAACGCACAUUGCGCCCCUUGGUAUUCCGAGGGGCAUGCCUGUUCGAGCGUCAUAUUAACCGCUCCCGCUUGCGGGGUCUUGGGCUUCGCCUCCGGGCGGGCCUUAAAAUCAGUGGCGGUGCCGUCGGGCUCUACGCGUAGUAAAUUUUCUCGCGAUAGGGUCCCGGUGGAUGCUUGCCAACAACCCCCAACUUCUUAAGGUUGACCUCGGAUCAGGUAGGGAUACCCGCUGAACUUAAGCAUAUCAAUAAGCGGAGGA